UUAGACAGUGACAGUCCAAUCACAGACCAGAGUCAAAUUGUCCAAUCAGGUGGUAGCUAGGUUCUUCAAGUUAGUCUCCAGUGGCGGUUCUGUAAGUUUGAUUGUAAUGGAGAUUCAAGAUGGACGACAGCGGUAGCUGUUCUGCUACUCAGGCCACGGGACGCAUGGACAAGAAUACGGGACUGGUGUGAGGAGGACCGACAGCGUUCCAGGCCCCUGUCACUCCUACAUAUGGACAUCAACUGCAAGUUGAUGAGAAUUGGCUGAUUGAGUCAACUGUCACAGGUUCUGAUCCUCCAAAUGGCCAGAAACAAGGCAGCCAUGGCUCUGGAAUUUGUCCUUGAUGCUGCAGAGAAACCUGACUUUACAUCCAGGCGCUGAUGGCUCAAUUAGGAGCAGGCCUGAGGACUGGGUGGACGCCAACAUAAUGAGGUCGCCGCUUGCCGAAAAGUCCUGAAUACAGCCAAACCAAACUUGCACUGCGACAUACAGGAGGCCAAAACACAUCAAUUUUAAAAGUCAACCUGAAGAUGUAUCUGAAGAGACUAGAUAAAAGAGCAUAAUGCUCAUAAAUGAAUGAUUCAACUGGACCAGGUCUGCCUCAUUGUCUUAAGGGGACAGGCAUUCGGUCACUCCAGUAAAAACUGAGCUAUGCAUGUGUUAUUCAGCUCCUCCAAGUGAUGGUUAUGUAACCCUUGAAUAUUCUUCUGAUGAAGUAGAGUGCAAUGAAGCUCAGGGUAGGCAUCCAUCUGUUUUGGAGUAGUGUAAUUAGUGGCAGUGACCUUUAGCGGAUUAUGCCCUGGCCAAUGAAAUGUGCCAAAGCCUUGAGAUAAAUGGUCGGCACCUCAAACAUGACUUGCAGUGGGGUUAGCCCAUCCACAGCUCUGAGACAAGGGUUUAGGAUGGUCUUAAUGGCUCAGUCUGUGCUCUCUAAAAUGGACAGGAUUUGCACUCACAUAGUCUUGUGACUCUGUAUCAGCCUUACAUCUGACAACAAUAUUAAAAUAAAAAAAGUGAUGAAAACUUAAUAUAUUCAUGUUGCCUACAAGAGCUACACACCGUUAGGGCUGUAACUACUGUUAUUUUCAUUAUCUAUUAAUAUACUGAUUAAUAUCUCAACAGUUUUGUCUAUAAAAUAGUGAAAAUUUUUCAUUAUGACUUUGCAGAAUCCAAGGUCCAAAGAAGUCCAAUAAAUUAUAAAAGAAAAUCAUUAUAUUUGAGUAGCUGAACUCAGAUGUUUGCUAUUUUGAAAAAAAAAGACUAAUAUGACAGAUUAUCAGAAACAGUUUGUGAUUAAUGUUCUGUCAAUCAACAAGUAUUUAAUGAAAUAGGUUGCUAUAUACAAAAUUUGAGGGGGACACAUUUCAAGAGGACUAGCUCAAACAUGACAGCUAAACAAUAUCUGUAGCAAUAUAUUCUUCAUGUUUUAUUUAACCCUUCUCUCGUGUCUUGCUAUAAAAUUACCACUAGAAAACAGGUCUGUGGUAAACCCCUUUCUAAACUUGUGGCUCUGUACCAACAAAAGCACCGAGGACAUACUGUACCUCCAUUUAAGAAAAUCAGAACAGAUAUAAGGAAAGUGAAUCUAGCCAUCCUAAUAAAUCCAUGAGAGGUUACAUGCCAUCAUAUUGGAAUACAAUUUUGUUUCCUUUCAGUAUAUAGUUGUAUGUCAGUUUUAAUAAUUUUAAAAAUGUUAUCUAUUCUGGUCUCUUUG